AGGGGAAUUUGGCCCUAUAUCCUUAUUUUAAGCACCUUAAUGAAAAAUACCCUGUCCUUUAAAACUUUUUCCAUCUAUCCAUUUUUUUUUCAUUAUUCCAACUUUAUCCUUACUCUGUAAACCACGUGCAAUUUCUUUCUCUCACUGAUCAAUAUCUCACCCACCACAUUCCACAUCUAGACAGAGCUUUUACAGCUUUAGCAACUCACCUCUUCUUCUUUGUUGCUUGUCUUCUGGUGAUGUUCUUCCCCAACAUCCAUCUACAACCCCAUCGCUUCCAAUCAGCUCGCUUUGGCCGUAAUCAACGAUAUUUACCUUCUAGACUUCGUGGAUCCAUCUGGGUUUGUUCAGGAAAUCUCUUCCAAGGUUAGCAGAGUGGUGGUUUCGGAUCACUACAAGACCGCAAUAGAUUGCAGUGAGAGUUCUUGUUUAGUUGGUGAGAAUGUGGAGAGGGUUAUUGACAGCCGGAGGAGUGGAGCUACUGUUGGUUUUUAUUAUUUCAAGGAAAGAGCUGGUAGUGGUCUAAAAGAUUUGAAUUUUGUUUCGAUGAGGGUUUGAUAUUUGAAUCCAUCUUCAUUCAAGCGAGUAAUUUGUUUUUAGCGGUUUAUUGAUUUUUUAUUUUAUUUUAUUUUUUAAAGCUGUAAAGCUACAAAAUUCUCUUUUUAUUUGGGUGUAUAAGGCUUUUGCAUUUGCUUUUUUUGAAGUUGGAGGAUGUAAUUAGUCAAGGAUUAACCGGCUUAUCCUAGAAGCAGGAAUGAUUCUCUCACUCAAUCAUAUGAGAUUGCUCUUGUGGCUGGAGCAUUUGGAGAUUGCCUAGUAUAGUCAAUGCUAUGAAAGCUGAUUCUGUAUUGGAGCUUAGGAGUGAACUUGGACAUAAAUUAGCUAACAAAAGCUCUAAUCUAAAGUUGAGGUGUUGAGGUAUGCAGCUAUCUACCUACAAAUAUGAUUGUCAAUGUAUUUGUAGCAUAUUUUUCUUUUUC